UGAGGAAUAUUGGGCAAUGCCCGCAAGGGUGACCCAGCAACGCCGCGUGGAGGAUGAAUGUCGUAAGAUUGUAAACUCCUGUUAGAUGGGAAGAAUAGUACCGGUUGGACCGGUAUAUGACUGUACCCUCAGAGAAAGCCCCGGCUAACUACGUGCCAGCAGCCGCGGUAAUACGUAGGGGGCAAGCGUUGUCCGGAUUUACUGGGUGUAAAGGGCGCGCAGGCGGAAUGGAAAGUCAGUGGUGAAAUCCUACAGCUUAACUGUAGAACUGCCUUUGAUACUUUCAUUCUUGAGUUCGGGAGAGAGAGACGGAAUUCCAGGUGUAGUGGUGAAAUACGUAGAUAUCUGGAAGAACACCAGUUGCGAAGGCGGUCUCUUGGUCCGAUACUGACGCUGAGGCGCGAAAGCGUGGGGAGCAAACA
rnacentral:rRNA from 1 species